rnacentral:rRNA from 1 species
AUUGAACGCUGGCGGCAUGCCUUACACAUGCAAGUCGAACGGCAGCACGGGGGCAACCCUGGUGGCGAGUGGCGGACGGGUGAGUAAUGCAUCGGAACGUGCCCUGAAGUGGGGGAUAACGCAGCGAAAGCUACGCUAAUACCGCAUAUUCUGUGAGCAGGAAAGCAGGGGAUCGCAAGACCUUGCGCUUUGGGAGCGGCCGAUGUCGGAUUAGCUAGUUGGUGGGGUAAAGGCCUACCAAGGCGACGAUCCGUAGCGGGUCUGAGAGGAUGAUCCGCCACACUGGGACUGAGACACGGCCCAGACUCCUACGGGAGGCAGCAGUGGGGAAUUUUGGACAAUGGCGAAAGCCUGAUCCAGCCAUGCCGCGUGAGUGAAGAAGG